GUGGGACACCCUUCCCCAACGAAGGGCAUAUAUCUGAGAGGAUAGCAU
rnacentral:ncRNA from 1 species